GUGCCAGCAGCCGCGGUAAUACGGAGGGUGCAAGCGUUAUCCGGAUUCAUUGGGUUUAAAGGGUGCGUAGGCGGGGCGAUAAGUCAGUGGUGAAAUCCUGCAGCCUAACUGUAGAACUGCCAUUGAUACUGUCGUCCUUGAGUGCGCUCGACGUGGGCGGAAUGUGCCGUGUAGCGGUGAAAUGCUUAGAUAUGGCACAGAACACCGAUAGUGAAGACAGCUCACGAGGGCGAAACUGACGCUGAGGCACGAAAGCGUGGGGAUCGAACAGGAUUAGAAACCCUCGUAGUCC
rnacentral:rRNA from 1 species